GUCCCGUAACGCCGGACGGCACCUAGCGCCGGACAGUCGUAUUUAAGCGGACUAUUUAAGCGAGUAUAAAUCUAUUCGAUUCAAAAUACAAGUGAAAGGGGCGCGGGGGGCACACAGGUACAGGAUCACACGCCGCACCUCACCUGCGACGCACACGGCCACGGUGGGAGCAACCGUUUGCUUUUUUAGGUGCGAAAUCACUGCGUCACGUAAAUAUGAAUAGAAAGAAGAUAAUUAAAAUGGAAGACAAGAAAAAGAACGGAUCCUGGGAGCCACAGAGCUUACAAACUGCUAUUGAUGAGGUUAUGUCAAAAGAAGUGAGACAAUUUUCGUAGUUGGCUUAGAAGACUGGAUCUAGUGCUCAUCCUGUCGUGGGGGGAUAAGUGAAGCAUGUGAAGACAUUCUAGAGUGUGAAAAUGGUUAAAUAUGUGAUCGAUGCUGGUUAUUUUGAAAUUUCCGGUGUGGUACAAAUAACCGUCCGGUAUUAGGUGCCACUUUUUAAAAUUACGUUUUUUGUUACCAAAGUUUGAUUGAUAGUAUUAAUUAUUUUGGAGCAGAGGUUGCAUUUUUGAUAAUUUAAUUUGAUUUCUAACUUUGUCAUCUUAUAUAAAUCAUAAUUUAAUAAACAUUUCUUAAACAA